AUUGAACGCUGGCGGCAGGCCUAACACAUGCAAGUCGAGCGCGCGGCGGACGGGUGAGUAAUGUCUGGGAAACUGCCUGAUGGAGGGGGAGAACUACUGGAAACGGUAGAUAAUACCGCAUACCAUCAGAUGUGCCCACAUGGGAGUAGCUAGUAGGUGGGGUAACGGCUCACCGAGGCGACGAUCCCUAGCUGGUCUGAGAGGAUGACCAGCCACACGGGAACUGAGACACGGUCCAGACUCCUACGGGAGGCAGAAGUGGGGAAUAGUGCACAAUGGGCGCAAGCCUGAUGCAGCCAUGCCGCGUGUGUGAAGAAGGCCUUCGGGUUGUAAAGUACUUUCAGCGGGGAGGCGUUACCCGCAGAAGAAGCACCGGCUAACUCCGUGCCAGCAGCCGCGGUAAUAC
rnacentral:rRNA from 1 species